AGCGAACGCUGGCGGCAGGCUUAACACAUGCAAGUCGAACGGGCAUCUUCGGAUGUCAGUGGCAGACGGGUGAGUAACACGUGGGAACGUACCCUUCGGUUCGGAAUAACUCAGGGAAACUUGAGCUAAUACCGGAUACGCCCUUUUGGGGAAAGGUUUACUGCCGAAGGAUCGGCCCGCGUCUGAUUAGCUUGUUGGUGGGGUAACGGCCUACCAAGGCGACGAUCAGUAGCUGGUCUGAGAGGAUGAUCAGCCACACUGGGACUGAGACACGGCCCAGACCCCCCACGGAGGCCGGCAGGGGGGAAUGGGGAAAAAUGGCGGAAGGUUUAUCCCGUCCAUGCGGCGUGGGUAAGAAAGGCCGGAGGGGAAAAAGGCCCUGUGGCCGGGAUCGAUAAUGAGGGUGCGGAAAGAACAAACCCGGACUCAUUUCGU
rnacentral:rRNA from 1 species